rnacentral:rRNA from 2 species
GAUCAAAUCAAGCGCGAAAAGGGCGUUUGGUGAAUGCCUUGGCAGCAAGAGGCGAUGAAGGACGUGAUACUCUGCGAUAAGCCGCGGUGAGGUGAGAAUAACCUUUGACCCGUGGAUUUCCGAAUGGGGCAACCCACCUGAUACCGUGUUAUUAUUGCUCUUCGGAGCAGCUAAUAAUGCGGUGAAGCAGGUACUUAUAACCUGAAUACAUAGGGUUAUAAGAGCAAACCCGGAGAACUGAAACAUCUAAGUACCCGGAGGAAAGGACAUCAAUUGAUACUCCCCUAGUAGCGGCGAGCGAACGGGGACCAGCCGAGCCAUGAAUGUGACUAGAACGUGUUGGGAAGCACGGCCAUAGAGGGUGACAGCCCCGUAUAGGAAACAUGAUUGGACGUAUUAAGUAGGGCGGAACACGUGAAAUUCUGUCUGAAGAUCGGAGGACCACCUUCGAAGGCUAAGUACUCCUUGCUGACCGAUAGUGAACCAGUACCGUGAGGGAAAGGUGAAAAGCACCCCGACGAGGGGAGUGAAACAGUACCUGAAACCGAACGCCUACAAUCAGUCGGAGCUUGACUGGACUCUAAUGACAAUCUGUUCCAUUAGGUUGGGUAACCAACAGAAUGGGCAGGAAAGCAUGUCGGAUUUUGCCGUUGUUACCGAUGGAACCUUCGCUGUUAUCGGCCUCGUCCUGGGGUUGAUCAACAUGGGCUUCAAUCACUGCCCGAACGAAGGUUGCCUCGCGAAGAACGAGCGCCAAGGUUAUGUCUCGGCUUCGGUCGGUGACGUGGUCUUUCAGGAAAACUCCAUCGGUGAAGAGAUUUACCUUCGGAAGCAGACCGGGAUGGCGCGCGGCCCCUUCCAGUUCACCUACGGUGCUUCGGUUACCGAAGACGGUGGGUUCUGGAUCGGUCUCGGCAACACGACGACAUACACGACCCCGAACGAACGGUGGUACGCACAAUUUCACGCGAUGCCCGGGCUGUACAGCAAGGGCGGCGACGUGGGGCUGGGUGGACCGAUCCAGUUCCGUUCCGGGAUCGAGGUCGGAUACGCCAACAAGCAAGGCGUCCGCAUGGGGCUGAGCAUCGACCACAGGUCGAACGCCGGCAUCUACAGCAACAACCCUGGACUCGAGACGGUUCAGUUCAGGGUGUCGAUCCCCACCAAAUGAUCUUCGGCCGCGAGGCCGUGACGAUUGUCAUUAGUGUCCAGUCUUGUGACGGCGUACCUUUUGUAUAAUGGGUCAUCGACUUGGUCUAUCUAGCAAGCUUAAGCCGGUAGGUGUAGGCGCAGCGAAAGCGAGUCUUAAUAGGGCGAAUGAGUUAGAUGGAUCAGACCCGAAACCGAGUGAUCUAGGCAUGACCAGGCUGAAGGUAAGGUAACACUUACUGGAGGGCCGAACCCACACCUGUUGAAAAAGGUCGGGAUGAGUUGUGCCUAGGGGUGAAAGGCCAAUCAAACUCGGAGAUAGCUGGUUCUCUGCGAAAUCUAUUUAGGUAGAGCGUCAUCCGAAUACCCUCGGGGGUAGAGCACUGGAUGGGUAAUGGGGCCCCACAGGCUUACUGAUCCUAACCAAACUCCGAAUACCGAGAAGUACUAGAUGGCAGACAGACUGCGGAUGCUAACGUCCGUAGUCGAGAGGGAAACAACCCUGACCUACAGCUAAGGCCCCCAAUUCAUGGCUAAGUGGGAAAGCAGGUGGGACGACCAAAACAACCAGGAGGUUGGCUUAGAAGCAGCCAUCCUUUAAAGAUAGCGUAACAGCUCACUGGUCUAAACAAGUUGUCCUGCGGCGAAGAUGUAACGGGGCUCAAGCCAUGAGCCGAAGCUUAGGAUGCCGUAAGGCAUGGUAGCAGAGCGUAGUGUGACAUAGUUCCUAGUCUCUUUAGCGGUUUCGGCCGUUACGGAGACAAGGAGCUUUCGAUGAAGCCGGCGCGUGAGCGAUCCGGUGGAGAGAUCACUAGUGAGAAUGAUGACAUGAGUAGCGACAAACAGUGUGAGAGACACUGUCGCCGAAAGUCCAAGGGUUCCUGCUUAAAGCUAAUCUGAGCAGGGUAAGCCGACCCCUAAGGCGAGGCCGAAAGGCGUAGUCGAUGGGAACCAGGUUAAUAUUCCUGGGCCAGAUGGAAGUGACGGAUCGUGAAGGUUGUUCACCCUUAUCGGAUUGGGUGGGCCGCUGAUCGGUCCCUGGAAAUAGCUCCAUCGCUAGAUCGUACCCUAAACCAACACAGGUGGACCGGUAGAGAAUACCAAGGCGCUUGAGAGAACGAUGUUGAAGGAACUCGGCAAAAUACCUCCGUAAGUUCGCGAGAAGGAGGCCCAGUUUCUACGCAAGUAUUGGCUGGGGGCACAAACCAGGGGGUGGCGACUGUUUACUAAAAACACAGGGCUCUGCGAAGUCGCAAGACGACGUAUAGGGUCUGACGCCUGCCCGGUGCCUGAAGGUUAAAAGGAGAGGUGAGAGCCUUGAAUUGAAGCCCAGGUAAACGGCGGCCGUAACUAUAACGGUCCUAAGGUAGCGAAAUUCCUUGUCGGGUAAGUUCCGACCUGCACGAAUGGCGUAACGACUUCCCCGCUGUCUCCAACAUCGACUCAGCGAAAUUGAAUUACCUGUCAAGAUGCAGGUUUCCCGCGGUUAGACGGAAAGACCCCGUGCACCUUUACUACAGCUUCGCACUGGCAUCAGAAUUGGGAUUUGCAGGAUAGGUGGUAGACUUUGAAGCCGGAACGCCAGUUUCGGUGGAGUCGCCCUUGAGAUACCACUGUUCGCACUUUUGAUGUCUAACCGCGGUCCGUUAUCCGGAUCCGGGACCCUGCGUGGCGGGUAGUUUGACUGGGGCGGUCGCCUCCUAAAGCGUAACGGAGGCGCGCGAAGGUUGGCUCAGAGCGGUCGGAAAUCGCUCGUUGAGUGCAAUGGCAUAAGCCAGCCUGACUGCGAGACUGACAAGUCGAGCAGAGUCGAAAGACGGCCAUAGUGAUCCGGUGGUCCCGAGUGGAAGGGCCAUCGCUCAACGGAUAAAAGGUACGCCGGGGAUAACAGGCUGAUACUGCCCAAGAGUCCAUAUCGACGGCAGUGUUUGGCACCUCGAUGUCGGCUCAUCUCAUCCUGGGGCUGGAGCAGGUCCCAAGGGUACGGCUGUUCGCCGUUUAAAGAGGUACGUGAGCUGGGUUUAGAACGUCGUGAGACAGUUCGGUCCCUAUCUUCCGUGGGUGUAGGAUACUUGAGAGGAGUUGCCCCUAGUACGAGAGGACCGGGGUGAACGUUCCACUGGUGGACCAGUUGUCGUGCCAACGGCAGUGCUGGGUAGCUAUGAACGGACAGGAUAACCGCUGAAGGCAUCUAAGCGGGAAGCCCCCCUCGAAACAAGGUAUCCCUGAGGGCCGUGGUAGACCACCACGUCGAUAGGCCGGAGAUGUAAGCGCAGCAAUGCGUUCAGUUGACCGGUACUAAUUGCCCGAUAGGCUUGAUUUGAUCCAG